CCAGCACCGCUUGAUAGCUCUCACUCAGGGGAACAACAUGUCCAAAUUUCAGCCCAUUCGGUUGAGGGGUUCGGGAGUUAUGGAUCUUUGAAGUUUUGACAGGUUUUCUAGCCGAAAAGAGUUCCAUAAGUUUUGGCCUUGCGGUCGGUCUCCGUUCGUGCAUUAAAACCCCACGAACCCCUUGCCAUCCACAGUCAUCCUGGUGUUCGCUGGAAUCCCUAUGUGAGCUUAAGCAAACCUACCGAACGGCCGGUUGUUCGGUAGUUCCAGCACGAAAUUACGAGCUCCUGGAGGUCUCAGCGGUGUUCGCCUGUUUGCGUAUCCGAUUUUAGUUCCAUGCGUUCACGGGCAAACACCGCUGUUCGUGCGUAAGAUGGCCGCGAACACGUGUAAAGUCC